GCGUCUAUAGCUCAGUUGGUUAGAGCACCACCUUGACAUGGUGGGGGUCGGUGGUUCGAGCCCACUUAGACGCACCA
rnacentral:tRNA from 2 species